GAUGAACGCUGGCGGCGUGCCUAAUACAUGCAAGUCGAGCGAACAGACGCGGAGCUUGCUCCUCUGACGUUAACGGCGGACGGGUGAGUAACAUGUGGAUAACCUACCUAUAAGACUGGGAUAACUACGUGAAACCGGAGCUAAUACCGGAUAAUAUAUUGAACCGCAUGGUUCAAUAGUUAAAGAGGGUUUUGCUGUCACUUAUAGAUGGAUCCGCGCCGCAUUAGCUAUUUGGUACGGUAACGGCUUACCAAGGCAACGAUGCGUAGCCGACCUGAGAGCGUGAACGCGCACUCUGGAACUGAGACACGGUCCAGACACCUACGGGAGGCAGCAGUAGGGAAUCUACCGAGAAGGGCGGAAGCCUGAAGGAGCAACGCCGCGUGAGUGCAGCAGGUCUUCGGAUCGUAUGACUCUGUUAUUGGGGAAGAACGAAUGUGUAAGUGACGAUGCACGUCGUGACGGUACCUACAGAGAAAGCAACGGCUAACUACGUG
rnacentral:rRNA from 1 species